CCUACGGGGGGCUGCAGUGGGGAAUAUUGCACAAUGGGGGGAACCCUGAUGCAGCAAUGCCGCGUGAAGGAUGAAGGUUUUCGGAUUGUAAACUUCUUUUGUACGGGACGAAGAAAGUUACGGUACCGCAAGAAUAAGCUACGGCAAACUACGUGCCAGCAUCCGCGGUAAUACGUAGGUGGCAUGCGUUAUCCGGAUUUACUGGGUGUAAGGGUCGAGUAGGCGGGAUUGCACGUAAGAUGUGAAGACUAUGGGCUCAACCGAUGGAGUGCAUUUGAAACUGCAGUUCUUGAGUGAUGGGGAGGCAGGCGGAAUGCCCGGUGUAGCGGUGGAAUGCGUAGAUAGCGGGAGGAACACCAGUGGCGAAGGCGGCCUGCGGGACAGUAACUGACGCUGAGGCGCGAAAGCGUGGGGAGCAAACAGGAUUAGAUACCCGGGUAGUC
rnacentral:rRNA from 1 species